CACUAAGUCACUUUGUCUUUAUGGCAAAUGUGAGAUGCAGUGUAUGGAAUGUCAAAUUUCUAGUAUGAGAAAUUAACGAUUUAAGUCCUUCUUAAAUGAGGCCAUUUACCCAAAGAGGGUGCCAGGCCCGUAUAACGUUAAUGAUUACUAGAUGGCAUUUCCAAAGAGUCGUGUUGCUUGAUAGUGCAGCACUAAGUGGGUGGUAAACUCCAUCUAAAACUAAAUAUAACCAUGAGACCGAUAGUAAACAAGUACCGUGAGGGAAAGUUGAAAAGAACUCUGAAUAGAGAGUUAAAUAGUACGUGAAACUGCUUAGAGGUUAAGCCCGAUGAACCUGAAUAUCCAUUAUGGAAAAUUCAUCAUUAUGAUUUUAAUAUUUAUAAUAUUAUAAUAAUGGUGUGCA
rnacentral:rRNA from 1 species